rnacentral:rRNA from 1 species
GUAGUCAUAUGCUUGUCUCAAAGAUUAAGCCAUGCAUGUCUAAGUAUAAGCAAUUAUACAGUGAAACUGCGAAUGGCUCAUUAAAUCAGUUAUCGUUUAUUUGAUAGUACCUUUACUACUUGGAUAACCGUGGUAAUUCUAGAGCUAAUACAUGCUAAAAAUCCCGACUUCUGGAAGGGAUGUAUUUAUUAGAUAAAAAAUCAAUGCUCUCGAGCUCUUUGAUGAUUCAUAAUAACUUUUCGAAUCGCAUGACUUCGUGUCGGCGAUGGUUCAUUCAAAUUUCUGCCCUAUCAACUUUCGAUGGUAGGAUAGUGGCCUACCAUGGUUUCAACGGGUAACGGGGAAU